rnacentral:rRNA from 1 species
AUGAAGUGGAGAUGGAGGCCGUGUGUGCAACGUUUCCUCGCCAGAGAAAUAGAGAAUAGCUCAAGAAGGUGCCAACCAGAGCGCCCAUGGCGCCUCUCCGGGAAAUUUGUACCGACACACUACAACUGCGGUCCCCUGUUGGCUGUACAGACUACAAACAAGUUUAUGCGAACAAUGGCAUCGCCUCAUUUUGCAGAUGAAACUAAUCAGUCUUAUUCUUUGGAGAAGCAUGAUGCAUGCCCUUACACAGGCAAUUACUUUGGUGUGCCUGUGUGGGAGAUUGUGGAGCCUUGGGAGGUCGGACAUGGUGUCUUUUUGCACGUGCCGCGAGCUAAAACGAACAUGGCAUGCACUGGCACAUCUCAUGAUCGAGAAGCUAACUGGCGAACUGAUGAACCAUCCAGGACACACAUGUGCAGGUGCAAGAAGAACUGCUUCAAGAUCUACACGGCAUAG